GGGCCCGUAGCUCAGUGGUUAGAGCUGCCCGCUCAUAACGGGUAGGUCGCUGGUUCAAGUCCGGCCGGGCCCACCA
rnacentral:tRNA from 1 species